rnacentral:rRNA from 1 species
UACGAGGGGGGCAAGCGUUGUUCGGAAUUACUGGGCGUAAAGCGUGCGUAGGCGGUUCUCCAAGUCCGUUGUGAAAUCCCCGGGCUUAACCUGGGAAUGGCAGUGGAAACUAGGGGACUUGAAUCUGGCAGAGGGGGGUGGAAUUCCACGUGUAGCAGUGAAAUGCGUAGAGAUGUGGAGGAACGCCGAUGGCGAAGGCAGCCCCCUGGGCUGAGAUUGACGCUGAGUGCACGAAAGCGUGGGGAGCAAACAGG